UACAGUGUGUGUGUGAGGGGUGCUGCAGUAAAUAUAUAUUUAUAUAUAUACUGCAGCACCCCUCACACACACACUGUAC